UGAAUUGAUGGCUCAAUCGGACUAAAAAACCUUCAUGUAAACACCUUAAUCGAUCUGAUUUAGCUUGAUCCAGAUGAAAUUUAGAUCGGAUUGAAAUGGUGUGGUUUAUCCCUUUUGUAAUCCGAUCGAGAGAACAUGUAAACACUUGAUCGGAUUGAAAACUGAAAGGACUGUGCAAUGACGUUAAAUAGCGUAAUGACGUAUGACGCGUGGAACGAGCUGUUCUUCCUGUUGAAUAAAGUGUCAUAUUAAUAAGUUUCCCGUCAUUCUAAAAUCCUAAUUUCACUCGCGUCUCUGUGAAGUGAAGCAGGACAACGUCCCACCAGUCCUUGUUUUGGAUUCUCAUCCAAAGAUGUCUGGUUUUGGCCGUGGUGAGGGGCAUUUUUCCUGCGUGAUCAAUAAGCAGCACGGCAAAACGGUUAAUCUGCUCUAAAUUAUGACCAGAGACAAAUUAAUAUUAUGUCUGCUGUUUAAAACAAAGAAAUAACCAAUAGAGGAGAAUAUUUAUGCGUGAACAGCCGGAAACUCUGUAUAUUUGUGCAGUGUGCCCAUGUCAAAACAUCAAAUCUGAUUUGAAACUUGUGACACAUAAACGCGCACAUCAACCCGAUUACUUUAUUUAUCAUUCAUGUAAACACCUUGUUCGGAUUCAUCAAUUGUAUUGAUUUCAUUCUGAUUGUGUCCAUGUAAACGUAGCUAAUGCUGUUAAAAUUCAGAGAUCAUUUUGGUCACUAUAGUCGUGAUAUGAACAUUUCAUACUGUUUCAUCUCUAUUCUGCGUCAUUCCUCUGUCUAAACAGCCAAGAGCAAAGAAUUUCAGCCCCAUUCCUCGUCUUCUCACUACCAAAUUCCCAAAGGAUGUUCAGUUAAAAUUGGAUAACAAAGAACCAUGUCAUAAGAUCAGCACUUACCGGCAUAAAAUUGUACGAGUGCUGCACGAGACUAUGGCUCAGCACACACUAUAUCCUUCAAACAGUGACUAUGUUUGUGCAGUCAAGGCUCUUAUCUCCAAAUACCCUUACCUGAGAGAUGCAGAGGGAAAUGGAUAUGAAGAACCAGCCACACCAUAUCCCACUGUACAGAUUUUGGGAGCGUCUAACUGGAAACAGGUCUUCAGCCAGAAGAGAAUUUUCAGCACUGUGAAAAUGAAGGGAUCUUUGCUGAGCAGUUGGGAUGGAGAACGGUGUUCUCUCUGCUUUUUGCACGUAUUUUGUAUUCAACCUUUCGUCCCUCAUACAACAGGAACACACAUCUCUUUCUCCAAAGGCAUGUGUUGAAGCUAACUGCACCUGGUGACAAACCAUUGCCAACUGCUGUCGUCAGGAUUAUUUUAUCUUAGACUGAGAGGAUGCCACGACCCUAUGCAUGUCCAAAUUGUUCCUCACAGACAUUCAUGAAUAUUGCUGCUUCCUUAAGCAAAAGACACCAAUUCAAACAGUGUUGGGAGUUUUCAUCAGAAAGCAUGUUAAGUGAUUAUGAAAAAGUGACUGGAACAAGCAUUCGCACUCAAGUUACAUCUUUACCCAGAGAGCUUCAAAAUACACCUAAUAGUCACAAAAGUUGUCAAGCCAUAGAUUUUGCAGGUAAAACACUUCAACGUGUAAAUAAUGUAAAGUACAGCACCAAAGAUGUGUUUGUUAUUGAUGUUGUGCAUACAGAGGAAGUUCCUUUAUUCUUUCAGGUUAAGUACGUUUUCAGUGUAGAUACAUUGUGGAUACUGUGUGGGAAACUGUUGCUCCCACAAUCGUUUGACUCUAAUUUCCAUGCAUUUCGUGUUUCAAAUGAUAAGGAUUGGUUUUGUGUGAUGCCAGCAGAGGAACUUGACCAACAGGCACUUGACCUUUAUGUGGUUGAUGACCAUUUGUAUGUAAGAGCCAGAUAUGCAUAGUCACUCACCUACAAAACAUUAGGUUUACAUCUCAGCUAUAUGCUAUACAUAAUUUAAUUACUCCUUUAAAACUGUUAAUGUUAUGUAAAUUCAAGGCUAUUGUGUGGAAGUUAAAAAUUUAAAAGUCUUAAGUUGUAUUGUGAAUAGCUUGUGAAUUUUUAUUGUAGAUUGGAAAAUGAAAUUGACAUUGACAUUUUAGUGAAAUAUUUUAUAUUAUAAAUGGAGAAAUGUUUUUAUGCUAAAAAUGUUUUAAAUCUUCAUUGUAAAGUGUACAGAUGUAUUUACAAAACAAGAAAUAUUUGAACCUGUAACAGUAUUCAAACAUGUAUUUAUGUGUAUUGUGAAUAGCUUGUGAUUUUUUUUUUUUUUAUUUUUUUUUGUAGAUGGGAAAAUGAAAUUGACAUAUUGUGACAUUUUAGUGAAAUAUUUUGUAGCAAAUGGAGAAAUGUCCUGUUAAAAAUGUUUGACAUUUUCAUUGUAAACUGCAGAGAUGUAUUUUACAAAAUAACCUGUAACAAAGUAUUCAAAUACAAUGUAUUUAUGUGUAUUGUUUCUCAUAUUAAAUUGAUUUUAUUCAAUAGAAAAAUGGCCUUUAAUAGUUCUUGAAGGAACAUAUUUGACACAGUUAAGGUACAAAAGGGCUUGUCACUGGGGUGGUACCUUAAAGGAUCAAAUUUGUACCUUAGAUAAAGGUACAAUAUUGUACCAGUAAGUAAAAAAAAAAAAAGGUACAUUUUGGUUUUCCAUGGUACAAAUCAUGUCCUUAAAGGUACAAACUAUAAUGGUACAAAUUUGUUACUUCACAUUAAGGUACAAUUUUGUACCAGUAAAAGGUACCGCCCCAGUGACAAGGGUUUGUACCUUCUUUGGUACAAAAUUGUACCUUUUUUUCCGAGAGUG